rnacentral:rRNA from 1 species
CAAGGAAUCUUCCGCAAUGGGCGACAGCCUGACGGAGCAACGCCGCGUGCGGGAUGACGCCUUUCGGGGUGUAAACCGCUUUUCUUCAGGAAGAACGUGGGGCAACCCACUUGACGGUACUGGAGGAAGAAGGACCGGCUAACUACGUGCCAGCAGCCGCGGUAAUACGUAGGGUCCGAGCGUUGUCCGGAGUUACUGGGCGUAAAGCGCGCGCAGGCGGCGGUGUUGGCUCGGCGUGAAAGCCCCCGGCUCAACCGGGGAGGGUCGUCGAGGACCGCACCGCUCGAGGGCGGUAGGGGCUGGUGGAAUGCCUGGUGUAGUGGUGAAAUGCGUAGAGAUCAGGCGGAACACCCGUGGCGAAGGCGGCCAGCUGGGCCGUCCCUGACGCUGAGGCGCGAAGGCGUGGGGAGCGAACGGG